UGGGGAAUAUUGCACAAUGGGGGAAACCCUGAUGCAGCGACGCCGCGUGAGCGAAGAAGGUUUUCGAAUCGUAAAGCUCUGUCCUAUGGGAAGAUAAUGACGGUACCAUAGGAGGAAGCCCCGGCUAAAUACGUGCCAGCAGCCGCGGUAAUACGGAUGGGGCGAGCGUUGGCCGGAAUUAUUGGGAGUAAAGGGUACGUAGGCGGUCUAUUAAGUCAGGUGUGAAAGCGUGAGGCUUAACCUCAUUAAGCACUUGAAACUGAUAGACUUGAGUGAAGGAGAGGAAAGUGGAAUUCCUAGUGUAGCGGUGAAAUGCGUAGAUAUUAGGAGGAAUACCGGUGGCGAAGGCGACUUUCUGGACUUUUACUGACGCUCAGGUACGAAAGCGUGGGGAGCAAACAGG
rnacentral:rRNA from 1 species